rnacentral:lncRNA from 1 species
AUAUAUUCAUUUUCCAACAGAAUUUUAUUGUUUUCUCGAAAGUACCUUCAUUCAAUUCAAAAAUAUUUAAAUGUUAAAUUUUCACACUUGACAUCACAAAAAUAUAACAAGUACAGCGGCACCUCUGUUCAUGGAACUUCGGAAUAUAGGAACCGAAGUGAUCCCCUUUCUCGGAAUAUAAGCCUCACAAUGUUUUUUUUUUUAUUAAUUGUCUUAAAGCGUUGCAGUGGACAUGGAAAUACCGGGCGGCCUGCGUUCGUCUGGUCUUGUUAGCACUGUCAUGUAUACAAUUCCUGCCAGCUUUUUGUGAAACUUGUAUUAUCAGCAAUGUCUCUGACAAUUGCGAAAAUAAGUCCUGAUCAUCUAUUUUGAAC